rnacentral:lncRNA from 1 species
UUAAAUCCAACGUGUUCAAAAAGUUAGGCAAAAGACUACUGAAGACUUUAGUAAAAGAGUACAACGUUUCAAAUUGCGUCUCAGAUUAAUAUUCCAACACCAAUUUGGGGAGUUCAACACGCCCAGAUUCUUGAUUCUGUUGUCUCAAAGAAAGGAAACCAAGAAUAAGCUUAGCCCUGCAUGAUUUUAUUCUGUUACUCCCUGAUGAAUUAAGAAAGGUCCAGCAAUGUAACAAUGAAGAGUAUGACAGUCCUGCACUAUUGAAAAUUGAACAAGAUAUUAUCAAGUAAUGCACAAAAUUAUCAUGUCAAUUAUGCAGAAAUAUUGACAGAGAUGCAAAGGUGGAUGUGUUCGGGUAGUCACGGUAUCAAAAAC